rnacentral:lncRNA from 1 species
GAAAUGUGUCUGAAAUUUAGUAAAGCUUUAUAUAACCUGAAGGUUGUUUUUUGAAAUUUACACAUUCAGAAAUAAAUAACAGAUACUUUUUUUUCCCCUCCACAUAAAACUCCAAAACAGCUUUUGUCCCAGUUUGUUUCUCCAUUUACUGGAUGCAUUUAUGGAAGGCACAUUACAGGUCUUUGUGGGAAGAAACAGAAAGAAAUCACAAAAGCAAUUAAGAGAGCUCAAAUAAUGGGUAAGAAAGAAUACCUCAACAACUGAAUUGAGCUAGCUGAAAUUUUGCUCAUUAUGUUUUGUCAAGAACUUUAAUUAUCUCUUUACAGGGUUUAUGCCAGUUACAUACAAGGAUCCUGCAUAUCUCAAGGACCCUAAAGUUUGUAACAUCAGAUAUCGGGAAUAAAUUCUAUCACGUUACCACUAAUAAACUUAUUUUACAGUA